rnacentral:rRNA from 1 species
UACGUAGGGGGGCAAGCGUUGUCCGGAUUUAUUGGGCGUAAAGAGCGUGUAGGCGGCUAGGUAGGUCCGUUGUGAAAACUCGAGGCUCAACCUCGAGACGCCGAUGGAAACCAUCUAGCUAGAGUCCGGAAGAGGAGAGUGGAAUUCCUGGUGUAGCGGUGAAAUGCGCAGAUAUCAGGAAGAACACCCGUGGCUAAGGCGGCUCUCUAGUACGGUACUGACGCUGAGACGCGAAAGCGUGGGGAGCGAACAGG